rnacentral:misc_RNA from 1 species
AUGGGUGUUGUGCAUUUCUUCGAUCCGAUCACGACCAUGGAAAAGGGGCUGUUAAUCGGAAAUCAGAUUCAACAAUAUGACACAGCUCGUGCAUGUCUUUUUUGCGAAGAAAGAAGACGGUAGCCAGAUCGAAAUAGAUGGCCGACCCACAAUCCAUACAGUCACACUGAGAGGCGAUAGGGAAACCACGGGCAGUUCCGUUGAUAAAUAGAAAUAGAAAGGAUAAGAAUAUCUUCAUUCGAGAACCGGACAUCACGGAAUUCCGCAACCGGGAAGGAAGCAUGAAAAUCGCCACGGUAGCGGGGCAUUUGAACGUAAAACAACUAUUACAGCCACGGAAAGAAACACGAAUAGAAAGCGGAAAAAGGAUGGAAAAAGGAUUGAAUGGCACGAUAAAUAUUUGUCGAUGCGCUAAAACGCAACGAAGUGUCGAGAGCGGCAGCGGGGACCGUAAACGUGAAAUAUACCAGAGUUUAUAGGAUUAUCCGCAGCAGAAUGGAACCAGGAGCAGAGCACGAGACGAGAUAGCCUCCGGUGUGCAUCCUACCGUACGACCCAACCAACCUGCAGGCUGGCUACUGCACGGGGAUGAUUCACGGUCAAGGACGUCGUAGCAACCCCUCCAGCUUUUCUCUGGCGCAACCCUCGCUUUCAUCCACCAACGCCAG